CCUACGGGUGGCAGCAGUGAGGAAUAUUGGUCAAUGGGCUUACGCCUGAACCAGCCAAGUCGCGUGAGGGAAGACUGCCCUAUGGGUUGUAAACCUCUUUUGUCAGGGAGCAACGCCGGCUACGUGUAGCCGGACUGAGAGUACCUGAAGAAAAAGCAUCGGCUAACUCCGGGCCAGCAGCCGCGGUAAUACGGGGGAUGCGAGCGUUAUCCGGAGUUAGUGGGGUUAAAGGGUGCGUAGGCGGAGUGCCAAGUCAGCGGUAAAAUCGCGGGGCUCAACCUCGCGCCGCCGUUGAAACUGGCGUUGUUGAGUGGGCGAGAAGUAUGCGGAAUGCGUGGUGUAGCGGUGAAAUGCAUAGAUAUCACGCAGAACUCCGAUUGCGAAGGCAGCAUGCCGGCGCCCAACUGACGCUGAAGCACGAAAGCGUGGGUAUCGAACAGGAUUAGAUACCCUUGUAGUC
rnacentral:rRNA from 1 species